rnacentral:rRNA from 1 species
UACGAAGGAUGCAAGCGUUAUCCGGAUUUAUUGGGUUUAAAGGGAGCGUAGGCGGUCUUAUAAGUCAGUGGUGAAAUCUCGUUGCUUAACAACGACCGUGCCAUUGAUACUGUAGGACUUGAGUACAGUUGCCGUUGGCGGAAUGUGUCAUGUAGCGGUGAAAUGCAUGAUAUGACACAGAACACCGAUUGCGAAGGCAGCUGACGAAACUGUAACUGACGCUGAGGCUCGAAAGCGUGGGGAUCAAACAGG